GUUGGAAAUACUCCUAGAAUGGUCAUAAUUGUCAGCAACGGUGGCAUUAGUGGAAUGGCUUGCCCUUGCACUCACUCUUGCUCUGGAUUUUACCCUUAAAAGGCCUGGACCAAUAUCCAGAAGACAGUGCUGCUCAGACCAGCCCUUUGGACUGUAGAGAAAACACCAGGCCCAGAACAGAGCUGCUGGGGUAUGACCACCACAAGGAAAUCAAGUAGUCUCUGGGACUUGUACUUUUUAAAGAUUCCUAGAGAACCAGAUGGGUGACGGAAAGUAUCAAAAUACCAGGUUUCACAUGUAAUACUAAUAUUGGGAGAAAAAAAAGUGACGCUAAAAAUUAUUUAGUUAUUCUGAAAUCUGUCACUUUGGGAAAACAACAUCAGAAUUAGAAAAGAAUUAACCAUGUGACAUUGUGUCCUCACAUUUUCAACACAAGUGGUGAAUCACGAGGCAAAAAUCCCUCCAAACGGUGGUUCCUGAGCCCUACUCUGAGUCCAGGUUUCCAUCUUCCACGUGAGAGAGAAUUCCCAAACCACCUGUUGAGGGGGUGACUAAGGCCUCCACUGUCCAGAGGAUCUCCUGAAAAUCUGGAUGAGAGCCCAGGAGACAAGUGGGAAACGCCCCCCAGAUGCUAGCCUGGGAUGCAAAAGGAGGACCAGUUGACUGCUGGGUGAAUCGAUUCAAGCCGGGUGCCAUGAGAUGAACUGUCUCGGAAGCCCUUGAUCGGGAGUCCCCGAGUGGU
rnacentral:lncRNA from 12 species